rfam:Triticum aestivum genome assembly, contig: Triticum_aestivum_CS42_TGACv1_scaffold_221698_3B
GUGUUACUCCCUCCGUUCGGAAUUACUUGUCGUAAAAAUGAAUGUAUCUAGACGUAUUUUAGUUCUAGAUACAUCCAUUUUUUAGACGAGUAAUUCCGAACGGAGGGAGUAGAAC